GUCUCCCCUCCUUUUACUCUACAUGUGUUUCAUGGUUUCAAAACUUUAGCCCUUCAGCUUGCUAACGCCAAUUCUUCCAAAGACAGUUUCAAAACUUCAGACCUUUGGCUUUCUAAUCUAAUUAAUGAUAAAUAGAUAAAUAAUUAGACAUUCAGAAUUUUGAGAUGCACAGCUAUUUUAACACUUCUAAGGCUUAAUUGCCCCACAGCAUUGGUAAAAUUGAAGGCUGGAGGCGCCGCAUCACCACACAGAUGCAGGCAUUUUUCUACACAGUGAAUAAAUAUUGCAGCAAACUAGAGACAACCACCCAACAGUUGCAGACAUUUUUCUACACAGUGAAUAAAUAUUGCAGCAAACUAGAGACAACCACCCACGUGUAUGGUUAAAAUUUUUUCUACAAAAGCAAUUGUGUUUGCUGUAGCCAUGUAGGCCCUUUGAUUGUGAAGCAUAUUCAAGCAUUCCCACUUUCCUAGGUACAGCCGUACAGAGGUACCCACAUCAAAAAUUACACCUUUAAGACUUGAAUGCAAAACUAGGGAUUGCCUCUUUGCUAGCAUAUUGUGAGAAGUCUACAGGAUCAGGAACGUGGGGAGGUGUUGCACAUCUCACCAGGGCCCAGUUCA